CUGCGUAGGUCUGCCUGGUUGGCACAGAGAAGGGCCAACAGGUGAGAGCACUUGUGCAUAAAGAGUGGCAGUUUAGAUUUGGUUUUUUGCUGGGAGCAACGUUUGGAACCUACUACAGCUUGGAGCUUUGCCUGAAGACUUCGUGUGCCUUAUUGUGUAUUAGACCUUGACUUUGGACCUUGGAUUACAUAUAGUUUGGAUAUGUUGGUGAGAACUUUUGGACUGGACUGUUGACUACACCUAUUGGAUUAUCCCUGCAUGAUUUGGUGUUUGACUCAACUUUGGCUUUAACUCCGGACUGAAUGACGACAAGCAUGCUACUGCAAGAACUGCGGGUUCAGAACCCCUGUGUCAAGCCCCCAAAGCAUCAAAUGAGACACAGACGGGAUGAAGGCAAAGAGACUUUAUUAUUCUUUGGCCAAAAAAGAAUGUCAGCAAAAUCUGCACUCCAAAUACUGAUAUAAGCACAAUUGCGAACAUACGCAUUUAUUUAUAGCAUUUUGAAAACUAUUCAAAACAAAGAGACUUUGCUAUGGCUGCCUUUGAUUGGUCCAAAUUGGUGCCGGCUAGGAUCCCCUCCCUGAUAGGUCCAUGAGUGCCAUCUGCCAUCGCUGCUCAUUGGCUCCAGUCAUGGUGGGAAAUUUAAUAAACUGUCAUUUGCUGAAUUUGAAGUCUAGUGACAGUUCUUGGUCCAGCCGGGAUAGCCAAGAAUAGCUCAUGCUGAGCCUUCUCACCAGGAACAUAGGGCCUAGUAAAGUCCAGACAUAGCAUGAAUGGUGUAAAUAAUAGGCUUGAGUGAACAUUUCAGAAAUUUUGUAAGCAG
rnacentral:lncRNA from 11 species